rnacentral:rRNA from 1 species
CCUACGGGUGGCAGCAGUGGGGGAUAUUGCACAAUGGGGGAAACCCUGAUGCAGCGACGCCGCGUGUGGGAAGACGGUCCUCUGGAUUGUAAACCACUGUCCCCAGGGACGAAGAUGACGGUACCUGGGGAGGAAGCUCCGGCUAACUACGGGCCAGCAGCCGCGGUAAUACGUAGGGAGCGAGCGUUGUCCGGAAUUACUGGGUGUAACGGGAGCGUAGGCGGGACUGCAAGUUGGGUGUCAAAUCUACCGGCUCAACCGGUAGCCGCACUCAAAACUGCAGUUCUUGAGUGAAGUAGAGGCAGGCGGAAUUCCUAGGGUAGCGGUGAAAUGCGGAGAUAUUAGGAGGAACACCAGUGGCGAAGGCGGCCUGCUGGGCUUUUACUGACGCGGAGGCUCGAAAGUGUGGGGAGCAAACAGGAUUAGAUACCCGAGUAGUC